AGGAUGAACGCUGGCGGCGUGCUUAACACAUGCAAGUCGAACGGUGAAAGAGGAGCUUGCUCCUCUGGAUCAGUGGCGAACGGGUGAGUAACACGUGAGUAACCUGCCCUUGACUCUGGGAUAAGCGUUGGAAACGACGUCUAAAUACCGGAUACGACCUCCGAAAGGCAUCUUCUGGAGGUGGAAAGAAUUUUCGGCAAGGAUGGACUCGCGGCCUAUCAGCUAGUUGGUGAGGUAAUGGCCCACCAAAGGCGACG
rnacentral:rRNA from 1 species